CCCAUUUACAGUGAGAGGUACCCCCACUCCUGUGACAUUUUCUGCAAAUUGGAAGAAAAUGAAGUGUUAAGUCUAGCUUUGCCGCAGGCAGCCCUCGGUUCCCGCUUUCAGAAUGGGAGCCCAGGAUGGAGAUACGCUGUCCCCGGCGAUGCUAAAUCCCCAGGGGACGCACUGCCCCCCUCCCAGGCAAGCGCCCGUGGACUGGCCGCCCCGCCCCGAAAGCUCGAAGAACUAGCGAGGCCUACGUCUAGCUCUGCGCUGGGCACGGGUGCGCUCGGAUUGCGGUGGGCCAUCCGCCCAAUCGCGGGUUCAAGUGCGUUCCCGCGCUUGACACCACCGUUCUGGGAGAGGGUCUCCUCCGAGCCCGUCGUGAAAAUCCUCCGGGAAAAGAAGUCGGGCUUCCUCUCCACGCAGCUCCAAGUGGACUCCGGAAUCGGCAGGAAGUGGCUCCUCGAAUUGCGCCUUUGCAGACCGCCUUUGCUUUGCUCAAGAAAAGCAGCUCCCACUCAAGUCUUGUCUCCCCCUUCCCUCGAAAGCCCCGCACAGGUUUGUAAAGAGGGGAGCGAGGUCUGAAAAAUAUUCGUCUUCCAGGGAGUGAAAUGUUGGUUACGGCGCGCAAAGAAAGAUGGGUGCUUUUUAGCUAGGAAAAAAUCAACAUGCCACGUCUUGUUUUGCAGUUCCAGAAUGGUGCCAACGCUACCCUCUGAAGAGUCCGUAUCGCUGGGUUAAUUGCAACUUAGUGAAAUGGGAAAUAAUUGGGCAGUGACGUGUUUCGUGGCAUCAUUUCUCCUUAGGAGUGUCUAAGAUUUUAAGUUUGUUUUAAGCAAGGUUUUAAGACUUGCCAUAAAGUAAACUUUGUAAGUCAAUCGGUUACUUAAAGCCUAGAAGAGGUAAGUUAAAGUUACCAUGUACUAUACAAUCCUCCAGUUUCUUUUAGAAGCUUGCAUAGGUGACUAAGGCGAGGGCAUCUUGCAUUUUUAAUUUUCCAAAUGGCAAGGGCGUUUUGGUUUUAAGGUAGCAAGGUUAAUGUUCAAGGGCAAAUGGAGCCUCGGAGGGUCUCUUGAUGAACAAUGUUUACUUAAUACUUGAGGCAUGAAAUAAAUAUGAUUUACAGUACAAAUUAUACCUCAUGUUUUCAACUUCUUUAGUUAUAAGUUAUAUGAGAAAGGCGAUUAACAAUUUUUAAAUGACAAUGUUUUAUUUGCAAAGUAUAUUGAAUUUGAAAUAGGCUGGAACAGCAGGGUUAAAAAAGCAAACAAGUCAACUUAAAAGUGGUUUGAUAUUUGCUAUCAAAGGCUUUGAGAGCUAAUAAAAACAGAAUUAAAAAGAAUGGAUAUAAAUAAUAAAACUCCAUUUUGACCCAAUGUGCCUGUCCCCAGGGACGGGACAGAUGACACUCAGGACUCCUCGAUUUUGAGCUAGUCCCUGCAGACAGCAAUUGUGAAUGUGGUAGGUCAGCAUUGCCUUUGAAAAUGCAGGGCAAGUAUGUUUAUGGUAGUACAGAAACAAAAAUUUUUACUACCUAGGAUUUCCUCAGUAGUUCAGCCUAAAAGUUUUGCAUUUAAAAAUUUAUGAUAAACAUUUCUUCAUUGAUUUAUGAAGUUCACAAGGAAACUUUGUACUUGUAUUAUUUUGUUCAAUGUUCACAUUUCAGAUUGAAGUUCAUUUGUCUUUCAAAAGAUUUUAUAAAAAAACAUUUUUAUAAAAAAGUUUCACAAAACAUAAUCAUUGUUUUUACCUCUUCAGCUACACAUAUGAUUGCUGACAUCUUUUUUUAAAUUUUAAAUAAGAUUAAUAUUACCCCAUUCUGGGAGUUUAAUGCAAAGAAGAGGAUUUCUAAGCCUGAAAAUGCAGUCUAUAUAAAAUUGUGAGGUCAAACAUUUUUGUAAAGCAACUUGGAAAUUUAUAUAUAUUAAAUGAAUAUGAGAACAUAUUGUAAAGUACUUUUCUCACAUCAUUCCUCCUCCUUCCAAAAAGUUAAAAAUUCAGACUGUUUUCCAUCCUAUCGUAAUGCAAUCAUCAGAUAUUUUAAAAAUCAUAAUAAACAGUUCUGUUAAGAUGGUGACUAGCCUUCAAAGUAUUAUUAAGAAAAUAUAAGAAUAUUCUCAACCCUUAAUAUGUUUGAGGGACUUGAAAAAGUGAGAAGUUUGUAGACACAUUAUGCUACUGAAAUCUGUGAACAUUAAAAUGUCUAAGUAAUUACAUAAUUAUAUUCUGUCUAAGUAGCAGAAGUAUUUUUUCCAACUACUUUUUAAACUUUGAAAUUUUUAUGUUUUAAUUAGUGGCUUUCUUUUAAAUGUUGCAAAUGUUUAGUUUAAUCAUCUGUAUGAUAAAAAAUUAUUGGAGUUUGUUCUGUUGACUUUCUGUAUUAAAAAGCUGAUAAAUAUUUUAUAUUGAUCGUCUUUUGAUAUACAUGGAAUAAAUUUGAACAUGUGCCUUGUUGGACUAAAACACAA